AAGGAAUAUUGGUCAAUGGACGCAAGUCUGAACCAGCCAUGCCGCGUGCAGGAUGACGGCCCUAUGGGUUGUAAACUGCUUUUGUACGGGAAAAAACCUUCGGACGUGUCCGGAGCUGAUGGUACCGUAAGAAUAAGGAUCGGCUAACUCCGUGCCAGCAGCCGCGGUAAUACGGAGGAUCCAAGCGUUAUCCGGAUUCAUUGGGUUUAAAGGGUGCGCAGGCGGGUUAAUAAGUCAGAGGUGAAAUCCUACAGCUCAACUGUAGAACUGCCUUUGAUACUGUUAGCCUAGAGUAUAGUUGAAGUGGGCGGAAUGUAGCAUGUAGCGGUGAAAUGCUUAGAUAUGCUACAGAACACCGAUCGCGAAGGCAGCUCACUAAGCUGAAACUGACGCUCAUGCACGAAAGCGUGGGGAUCAAAC
rnacentral:rRNA from 1 species